rnacentral:misc_RNA from 1 species
GAUGAAGAACGUAGCGAAAUGCGAUACGUAAUGUGAAUUACAGAAUUCAGUGAAUCAUCGAAUCUUUGAACGCAUAUUGCGCUCUCUGGUAUUCCGGAGAGCAUGCUUGUUUGAGUAUCAGUAAACACCUCAACUUCCAUAUCUUUUUUGAAAUGGGAGUUGGACUUGAGUGAUCCCAACGCUUUUCCUCACCGAAAAGUGGCGGGUUACUUGAAAUGCAGGUGCAGCUGGACUUUUCUCUGAGCUAUAAGCAUAUCUAUUUAGUCUGCCUAAAAAACAGAUUAUUACCUUUGCUGCAGCUAACAUAAAGGAGAUUAGUUCUUGUGCUGACUGAUGCAGGAUUCACAAAGACAGGCUUCGGCCGACUUUGUAAACUCGAUCUCAAAUCAAGUAAGACUACCCGCUGAACUUAAGCAUAUCAAUAAGCGGAGGA